rnacentral:rRNA from 1 species
AUUGAACGCUGGCGGCAUGCUUUACACAUGCAAGUCGAACGGCAGCGCGGGCUUCGGCCUGGCGGCGAGUGGCGAACGGGUGAGUAAUGCAUCGGAACGCGCCCAGUAGUGGGGGAUAGCCCGGCGAAAGCCGGAUUAAUACCGCAUACGACCUGAGGGUGAAAGCGGGGGACCGAAAGGCCUCGCGCUAUUGGAGCGGCCGAUGUCGGAUUAGCUAGUUGGUGGGGUAAAGGCUUACCAAGGCGACGAUCCGUAGCUGGUCUGAGAGGACGACCAGCCACACUGGGACUGAGACACGGCCCAGACUCCUACGGGAGGCAGCAGUGGGGAACUUUGGACAAUGGGGGCAACCCUGAUCCAGCCAUGCCGCGUGCGGGAAGAAGGCCUUCGGGUUGUAAACCGCUUUUGUUCGGGAAGAAAUCCUCUGGGCUAAUACCCCGGGGGGAUGACGGUACCGGAAGAAUAAGCACCGGCUAACUACGUG